AAGGCGACGAUGCAUAGCCGACCUGAGAGGGUGAUCGGCCACAUUGGGACUGAGACACGGCCCAAACUCCUACGGGAGGCAGCAGUAGGGAAUCUUCGGCAAUGGACGAAAGUCUGACCGAGCAACGCCGCGUGAGUGAAGAAGGUUUUCGGAUCGUAAAACUCUGUUGUUAGAGAAGAACAAGGAUGAGAGUAACUGUUCAUCCCUUGACGGUAUCUAACCAGAAAGCCACGGCUAACUACGUGCCAGCAGCCGCGGUAAUACGUAGGUGGCAAGCGUUGUCCGGAUUUAUUGGGCGUAAAGUGAGCGCAGGCGGUUUCUUAAGUCUGAUGUGAAAGCCCCCGGCUCAACCGGGGAGGGUCAUUGGAAACUGGGAGACUUGAGUGCAGAAGAGGAGAGUGGAAUUCCAUGUGUAGCGGUGAAAUGCGUAGAUAUAUGGAGGAACACCAGUGGCGAAGGCGGCUCUCUGGUCUGUAACUGACGCUGAGGCUCGAAAGCGUGGGGAGCAAACAGGAUUAGAUACCCUGGUAGUCCACGCCG
rnacentral:rRNA from 1 species